rnacentral:ncRNA from 1 species
ACGGUGACGUAACAGCUGAAAGAAGUAGAUAGCAAAACUCUGGUCCGACGAACAGAAAUCAUUUUAGGCAGGUUACGGUGGAUAAGCGAGCAAAAUAUCGCAAAGCCCAAUAGUUAGACGGAACCGGACAUGUAUAGAUGGCGGAUGUAUGGAGCGAAAGAUCAU